rnacentral:misc_RNA from 1 species
AAACAUUUGAUUAGGCUUGUUGGAUAUUGUGAAGAAGAUAAUGAGAGGAUUUUAGUUUAUGAGUACCUAAAGAAUGGAACUCUACACGACCUUUUACACAAGAAUAAUGUUGACAAAAAAAGUAGUGUGAUCAAUUUUUGGAAAAUGAGGAUCAAGAUUGCAUGCAUUAGAUGCUGCUAGAGGAAUUGAGUAUCUUCACAAUUAUGCAGUCCCACCGAUAAUUCACAGUGAUAUCAAGUCUUUUAAUAUCCUGCUUGACGCAAAUUGGGCAGCAAGAGUUUGUUAUUUUGGAAUGGCAAUGUUGGGUGCUGAAUCUGAAAGCAAUUA